rnacentral:rRNA from 1 species
UACGUAGGGUGCAAGCGUUGUCCGGAAUUAUUGGGCGUAAAGGGCUCGUAGGCGGUUUGUCGCGUCGGGAGUGAAAACUCAGGGCUUAACCCUGAGCCUGCUUCCGAUACGGGCAGACUAGAGGUAUGCAGGGGAGAAUGGAAUUCCUGGUGUAGCGGUGAAAUGCGCAGAUAUCAGGAGGAACACCGGUGGCGAAGGCGGGUCUCUGGGCAUGUCCUGACGCUGAGGAGCGAAAGUGUGGGGAGCGAACAGG